rnacentral:lncRNA from 1 species
GGUUAGUAGGUAAUAAACCACACAGAUAGGACUUACGACCGCCGGUUUGUAGGCAGAAAGCCAAGAGUUCCACUGAGGAUAAGAUGAAUGAGCGUCGGUUAGUAAGCAACUAUUCAUUUAUACCAUAGGGAAGCACGAGAGACAGUUGAAAAAAGGCCAAUUUAGGAUCAAACCAAAAAGGCGAACUGAAUCAAGACUCAUCCUAAUGAGGAUAUAACUCAAAAG